UCUUCCGGUCUCUGAGUUUUUAUCAAAUGGUAAUAAGUGGCAUUUCCCUAGCAAGAGCUAGCCCCUCAAAGUCCUGGAAACCUUGCUUCCAAAAUUCCUUAGAGACUUACUCUAUCCCUGACCCCCUCCCAACCUGCGGGUAUAUAAUGAGUUACCCAUCACGA